rnacentral:rRNA from 1 species
AUUGAACGCUGGCGGCAUGCCUUACACAUGCAAGUCGAACGGCAGCACGGGUGCUUGCACCUGGUGGCGAGUGGCGAACGGGUGAGUAAUAUAUCGGAACGUACCUUAUUGUGGGGGACAACGCAGCGAAAGCUGUGCUAAUACCGCAUAAUCCCUAAGGGGGAAAGCGGGGGACCGUAAGGCCUCGCGCAAUUAGAGCGGCCGAUACCUGAUUAGCUAGUUGGUGAGGUAAAGGCUCACCAAGGCAACGAUCAGUAGCUGGUCUGAGAGGACGAUCAGCCACACUGGGACUGAGACACGGCCCAGACUCCUACGGGAGGCCGCAGUGGGGAAUUUUGGACAAUGGGGGCAACCCUGAUCCAGCAAUGCCGCGUGAGUGAAGAAGGCCUUCGGGUUGUAAAGCUCUUUUGUCAGGGAAGAAACAGCAGCUCUAACACAGUUUGCGAAUGACGGUACCUGAAGAAUAAGCACCGGCUAACUACGUGCCAGCAGCCGCCGUAA